rnacentral:rRNA from 1 species
AUGUUGUUAUCCGCUCAUGCUGUAGAAGGUACUGCAAGCCCUGCUACAUUUUCCUUGCUUUUAAUCAUUGGUGGUUCUAAAGCAGUGGCAUUAGUGGAUAGUGACAGCUCCAACACAUUCAUGAGUUACAGUUUUGCUAUAUCUGCUAACUGUCAACUUAAUCCUACCAAAACCAGAACUGUGUCAGUAGCUACAUGGAGCUGUGAUCUUCACAAAUUGGACCUCCGGUCUGGUUAUCACCAAAUAAGGACGAACACUGCUGAUAUUCCUAAUACAGCCUUCCAGACUCAGAUGGGACACCUUGAGUUUGUGGUUAUGCCUUUUGGAUUAACCAAGACACCAGCAACCUUUCAAAAUCUUAUGAGCACAAUAUUUCAGCCAUAUCUGAGGAAAUUCAACCUAGUGUUCUUUGAUGACAUUUUGGUCUAUAGCCCAGAUUUGAAAUCUCAUGCUGAACAUUAUUUGGUUAUUGCUUUACAAGUUUCAGGCAGAACAAACUUUCGGUUAAAAGAUCUAAAUGUGAAUUUGCAACACCAACUAGUUGAAUAUUUGGGCCAUGUCAUAUCUGCUGCUGAACUUGCAACUAAUCCUAAGAAAAUAGAGGAUAUCUUGAAGUGGUGUACCGCGUACACCAUCCACAGUUUCUCAACCCAGAGGAUUCCUGGGAAUGACAGGGUAUUAUUGAAGAUUUGUGAAGAAUUAUGGUUUAAUUUGUAG